rnacentral:pre_miRNA from 1 species
UCACGGAACUCAAGUUGAUGUUUCUGACGCAUCUGAUUUUUCAUUAAAUGAAAAAUCAGAUGCGUCAGAAACAUCAACAUCGGUA